CGAUGAUUUUAGGCGCGCCUCGGGGGCCAACGGCUGGAGAUGCUAUUAUCCCCAGGCCAGCACAAGCGCACAUCCCUCGCCUCCCCCUUCCCCUCCAGCAAUGGCCGCACCCGCCGGGGUGUAUUUAGCCUGCGGUCGCCAGUUCGUCUGCGGGCUUAAUCUGGGGAAAUAGUUGCAUUUUUAAAGGACAGCAGAUAGAAGACACUGGAGACAAGUAUUGCCUGUGACAUUCUGCUGUAAUGACCACCUGGAGUAUGUGCUUCCGGUUAAAGACGGCACUGCCAGUCAUCGACUCCUCUAGAUCUCCUCGUGUUGAGUGGAGCAAGCAGCAGGAGGAGCAGCCGCUGUUGUACCUGCUAAUUUUGUUCUUCGGGGGUGUAGCAGCAGCAGGAGGAGGAGGAGCAGAUUUGGAUGGAUACACAACCAAGCAGAAGCAGGAUAUUGAGAUUAUAAGGAUGAAAUGUGUGGUGGACCCCAGCAAAAAAGAAAAGAAAAAGAAAUGUGUAGUGGAGAAGAACCAACUUAUCUUCAGUUGGACAACUAUUUACAGCCCUUUGUUUCUGAAAUUUAAGACUAGCUGAUUUAUUGAGAAUUUUCGUCAAGCUGUAAAUUCAUGUUUUUUUAUUUUGUUUGAGUAAACCGAGUUGUACACAUAUGUGACUGUAAAUUAUUAAGACUAGCUGCUUUA